GACGAACGCUGGCGGCAUGCCUAAUACAUGCAAGUUGAACGAUGAUAUUCUCUGCUUGCAGCGAAUUGGAGAGUAGCGAACGGGUGAGUAACACGUGGGUAACCUGCCCAUGAGAGGGGGAUAACAUUCGGAAACGGAUGCUAAUACCGCAUAAUGCUUUGGACCGCCUGGUCCAGAGACGAAAGACGGCUUUUGCUGUCACUCAUGGAUGUCCCCGCGCCGUAUUAGCUAGUUGGUGGGGUAAUGGCUCACCAAAGCUGUGAUACGUAGCCGACCUGAGAGGGUGAUCGGCCACACUGGGACUGAGACACGGCCCAGACUCCUACGGGAGGCAGCAGUAGGGAAUCUUCCACAAUGGGCGAAAGCCUGAUGGAGCAAUGCCGCGUGAAUGAAGAAGGUCUUCGGAUCGUAAAGUUCUGUUAUUAGAGAAGAACAAGUCAAGGAGUAACUGUCUUGACUUUGACGGUACCUAACCAGAAAGUCACGGCUAACUACGUG
rnacentral:rRNA from 1 species